rnacentral:tRNA from 2 species
CGGGGCGUAGCGCAGUAGGUUAGCGCGCAGUGUUCGGGACGCUGAGGUCGGCGGUUCGAGUCCGCCCGCCCCGACCA